rnacentral:sRNA from 1 species
CCCUAGCCCAGAUUGCAAUGGAAAUCCUUUUUGUUUUUUUGGGAUAAUGUUGGUUUGAAAGCAGGAUUUUAAUGUUGUUUGGUGUGUUUAUAAAAAAAUGAUAAAAAAACAAAAAGAUUGAAAUGAAAAGCUGGAAAUAGC